GCGCUGGCACGCGCAACUUCCGGGACAGAGGCUGUGGCUGGAAGGAGCUGGGCAUCCGGCCUGAGGCGCAGCGGUCGCCUUAGUUCGGCCCAAUGGCGGCACCGCUGCUUCACACGCGUUUGCCGGGAGAUGCGGCCGCUUCGUCCUCUGCAGUCAAGACGCUGGGCGCGUCGAGGACUCGGAUUUCAAAUAUGCGUGCAUUAGAGAAUGAUUUUUUCAAUUCUCCCCCAAGAAAAACUGUUCGGUUUGGUGGAACUGUGACAGAAGUCUUGCUGAAGUACAAAAAAGGCGAAACAAAUGACUUUGAGUUGUUGAAGAACCAGCUGUUAGAUCCAGACAUAAAGAACCUGAAGAUUGGAUCUUCUGAGAACAUCAGACAUAGAAUGUCCUUGCCAUCCACACUACAGCAAAACUUCAGGACCUUGAACUUUGGCUUCAUAAUCUCACAAGAGGGAAGUUUUUCACCGGAAGAAGAUGGCAUCCUUGAUGUGAACAGCUUUUCCCAAGAUCACAGAUCAAGACUUCUGGUUUUUAUGAUUUUUUUUUUUUUUUUUUGAGACAGAGACUUUUUUUUUUUUUUUUUUUUUUUUUUUUGACAUGGAGUCUCGGUCUUCUCGCUCCAGCUGGAGUGGAAUAGCGCGAUCUUGGAUCACUGCAACCUUCACCUCCCAGAUUCAAGCGAUUCUUGUACCUCAGCCUCCUGAGCCGCUGAGACUACAGGCACAUGCCACCAUGCCUGGUUAAUUUUUUUUUUGUGCGUGUGUGUGUGUGUGUGUGUGUCUGUGUCUGUGUGUGUGUGUGUGUGUGACAGAGUUUUACUCUUGUUGCCCAGGCUGGAGUGCAGUGGUGCGAUCUUGGCUCACUGCAAUUUCUGCCUCCUAGGUUCAAGCGAUUCUCCUGCCUCAGCCUCCUGAGUAGUUGGGAUUAUAAGCGCCCAAUACCAUACCCCGGGAAUUUUUUGUAUUUUUAGUAGAGACAGGGUUUCAUCAUGUUGGCCAGGCUGGUCUCGAACUCCUGACCUCAGGUGAUCCACCCGCCUCGGUAUCCCAAAGUGCUGGGAUUACAGGCGUGAGCCCUGUGCCCAGCCUCCAUCCCUCUCUUUCUCUCUCUCUCUCUCUCGACUGAGAGAGAGAGACUGACUGGGGACAAUCAACUCUCUCUAGACUGACAGAGAGAGAGAGGGAGGGAGGGAAGGAGAGAAAGAGACGGAGUCUGGCUCUCACCCAGGCUGGAGUGCAGUGGAGUGAUCUUGGUUCACUGCAACCUCCAUCUUCCGUGUUCAAGCGAUUCCUGUGCCUCAGCCUCCCAAGUAGCUGGGAUUGUAGGUCUGCACCACCACGCCCGGCUAAUUUUUGUGUUUUUAGUAGAGACGGCUUUGCCAUGUUGGCCAGGCUGGUUUUGAACUCCUGACCUCAGGUGAUCCUCCAGCCUCGGCCUUCCAAAGUGCUGGGAUUACAGACGUGAGCCACCUCGUUUCUGGCCAAAUGAAAUAAAAUGUUAAAGUAAAUUCAGGACUACCCCUCCUCCAAGUCUUCUGUCCCCUUUGGGUGCCCAGGUGAGAGGGGGAGGGGCUGGGGGAAUAAUAACAUCAAAAGAGGGCCUUUUCCUCCCUUAUUCCGAGGAGACUUCCCUGGGCCUGACUCCCAGUCCUGUCCCCAGUGCCCCGCAGCCUCUCGAGCCCCUUCAGUGACCAAGAUGCAGAGAUCAGGACGCCAUUGCGCCGCCCCAGGUGCCUGCCCCUAGCUGGCUCCGCCUGGGCCCCAAGGGAAGGUGAGGUCGGGGGCUGGGCUGGGGCAUGGCAGCUGGGGUGUUUGUCCGCCGGGCUUGCUGCCUCCAUCCCAGAGGGUGCCAGCAUCGUCCCACCUCUGUCACCCUCCGAUGGGGCCGCUACCUGUGUGCCUGCCAAUCAUGCUGCUCCUGUGGCUGCCGUCGCUGCUGCUGCUGCUUGGACCUGGCCCCGGGUCCGGCGAGGGUGAGUGAGGAAGGGGCUUUCACGGAACUCAGGCAUUCUGGGAUUCCUCCAGCCUUUCCUAGGGAGCCAGCAGCCCUGCCUCCCAUCCCUCUUCAAGUUCCUAGUUGCCCUAGAGCCCCCAGCUCGCUCUUCUAAUGCUCACCCACACUCUGGGUCCCAGCCCUCUGCAGGGCCCCCCACUCACUCCUCCCGGGGACCCAGAACUAGCCUAGCCCUUCCCCAGGGCCACAGAGUCCUGUCCUGGCUCCCUCCCCUAACCGGCUGUGACCCUCUCCAGCAGCCCGGAAGCUUCCCGGUUGUCCUGAUCUGGGAUCCGCAAACUUAUCCUUCAUUCCACCUGUCCCUGAGAUGUGAGACACAAGAGGGUGGGAGGAGCAGGGGCAGAAAGGGCCCGGCUUGGGUGUGGGAGAAGAAUAUAUUGUGCCCCUGUACAGCAAACCCCUGUGACCAAAAAAAAAAAAAAAACAUACUGUCCCUAUCCCACUAUCCAUCCUUUGGGGUCACUGUAGAGAGGUCUCCUGGGUGACUGCCCAUUUCUGGGGUGCACAGAUACAUGUAGCCACAGAGUACUAUGCAGACACCGCCAGCACACAGAUGUGCAGGCACAGGACCAGCCCCAGACUCACCUGGCCCUCAGGUGUGCAGCUCACGGUGUGCUGCUCCCACAGGCAAAAAUACUGAGAUACCACUAGGGGGACACACACACACACACACACUGAGAGAGAGAGAGAGAAAGGCACAGACACACAUAUGUGCACAUAGACCCUGGGGCUCACAGGAUGCACAGACAACCCUGGCCCUCCCCGAGGAGGCUGCAGCGGGCAGACAGGGCAAACAGACCCCAGCGUGACCUGCCCCACCUAUGUUGGCACAGAGGGAGUAUUUUGCUUGGUUAUAAGCACAGUGCUCAUGCCUGCCCCAUGCCUAGAACCCUCCCUCUAUAGGGCUGUUGCUAGGGCUCUGAGAUACCAGAGAGUGGUCAGGGAGUGUGGCAGGGGAAACUUUGGGGACAGCUUCAGGGUACUGUGUUGGGACUGGGACAUUGUCAGAGUGCUCAGAGAGGGCAUGUUCCCUGGGUCUUGGUGGAUUUAGAGGUCAAGGGACCAUUUCUGGAAGCUCACUGUGUGCCAGGGCAGCUUAUAUCAGAGCUCCGCUCUUUUUCUUUUUCUUUUUUUUAAGACAGAGUCUCACUGUUGCCCAGGCUGGAGUGCAGUGGCACCAUUUCGGCUCACUGCAACCUCCACCUCCCGGGUCCAAGAGAUUCUCCUGCCUCAGCCUCCUGAGUAGCUGGGACUACAGGCAUGCACCACCACCACACCUGGCUAAUUUUUGUAUUUUUAGUAGAGACGGGGUUUCACCAUGUUAGCAAGGCUGGUCUCGAACUCCUGACCUCAGGUGAUCCACCUGCCUUGGCCUCUGAAAGUGCUGAGAUUACAGGCAUGAGCCACUGUGCUUGGCCAGAUAUCUGCUCUGGAAGACCCCCCAGGCUGGAGGGCACUGCCACAAGCAGACACUAUGGCGAGGGUCCCUAUGGCCACCUGGCAGGCAAGGUGGAUUCUGGAGGGAGGUGACCUGGGAGCAGGCUGAGGAUGGGGUGAGGGCAUUUGAGCAGCAGAGUGUCUGCGUGACUGGGCAUAACUGGAGGGACAGUAAAUGACUCUUGUGUGAGAGGAUGAGGGAGGGGUGAGAGGGGCUGACUACCCCCAGGACUUGAGGUGCAGUGAGACUCCUUAGCUUUAUCCAGACUCGUGGGAGCCAUGGAGGUUUGAGGCAGAGGCGUGGGCUGCUGGGAGAGUGAGGACUCACCAUCCAGAGAGGAAGGUGAAACUUUCAACUCUAAAUGCCGUUUUAUUUUCGUGGUUUUUUUUUUUUUGAGACGGAGUUUCACUCUUAUUGCCCAGGCUGGAGUGUGAUAGCACGAGCUCGGCUCACUGCAACCUCUGCCUCCCGGGUUCAAGUGAUUCUCCUGCCUCACCCUCCCAAGUAGCUGGGAUCACAGGCAUGCGCCACCAUGCGUGGCUAAUUUUAUAUUUUUAGUAGAAACAGGGUUUCUCCGUGUUGGUCAGGCUGGUCUGGAACUCCUGACUUCAGGUGAUCCACCCGCCUUGGCCUCCCAAAGUGCUGGGAUUACAGGCAUGAGCCACUGUGCCUGGCCCCAAAUGUGUUUUACAUUUUCUUCCUAUUUGAUUCAUCUUUGUCGUGCAACAUAAAUAUGCUACUUUUCCACUGAUAAAAAGACAAAAUGGAAUUUAAAAUUGGCCUGGACUUCUCAAAAAAGUCAGUGUGAUGAAAACAUGUUCUAGAUAAUAUAGAAAUGAGACUGGGCAUGGUGGCUCAUGCCUGGAAUCCCAGCGCCUUGGGAGGCCAAGGAAGGAGAAUCACUUGAGGCCAGGAGUUUGUGACCAGCCUGGGCAACAUAGUGAGACCGCAGAUCUACUAAAACUUUAAAAAUUAGCUGGCCAUGGUGGUGCAUGCCCGUAUGUCUGGAGGUUGAAGCAGGAGGAUCGCUUGAGCCCAGGAUCUGGAGGCUGAGGCUGGAGGAUCGCUUGAGCCCAGGAUUUGGAGGCUGCAGUGAGCUAUGAUUGUGCCACUGCACUCCAGUGUGGGUGACAGAGUGAGACCCUGUCUCUAUUAAAAAAAAGAGAGACAAGAUGAUCAGGAUGAGCGCAGUGGCUCACGCCUAUAAUCCCAGCACUUUGGGAGGCCAAAGCAGGUGGAUCACAUGAGGUCAGGAGUUUGAGACCGGCCCAGCCUAGAUGGUGAAGCCCGGUUUCUACUAGAAAUACAAAAAUCAGCUGGGUGUGGUGGGGCACGCCUGUGAUCCCAGCUACUCAGGAGACUGAGGCUGGACAGUUGCUUGAACCUGGGAGGCAGAAGUUGCUGUGAGCAAGAUUACACCACUGUGCUCCAGCCUGGGCAACAGGAAUAAGACUCUGUCUCAAAAAAAAAAAAAAAAAAAGGGAUGAUCAAACACAAUGCAUCAACCUCCCGGAGCCGUAUAAACCCUAAACCUAACCCAGGAAGCAGGCAAGCCUGUGUCCUCCAGGAUAUUAUGUGUGCACCGACGUGGGAUCCUGGAACUGGCAGGAAUUGUGGGUUGUGUUGGUCCCUGAACUCCCAUCGCCUAUAUGAAAUAUGGUUGCUUUUGUGGCUUGGGAGGCCAUGGCCAGCCCUGCGAUGCCAUUGACUGGUGAGUGCAUGCCUGGGACCAGGCUACAAAAUCCCUCACACUCUGGGGUAGUCAAGCCUUAUGAGGAAGUACCCAAAACUGAAGCUGGGGUUUGGUCCAGGGAGAUCCCAGUGUGCAGUACUACUUUGCAGGCAGGCAGAGGCCUCUUGGAUAACAUGGCCAGUGAAGCCAGAUCUUGGUACCAGCUGCGCCUUACCCUGGCCAUGGGCUGAAAACGUUGCCUUAAAAAAUUGGCCAGGAGCGGUGGCUCACUCCUGUAAUCCCAGCACUUUGGGAGGCCGAGGCGGGCAGAUCACUUGAGGUCAGGAGUUCAAGACCAGCCUGGCCAAUAUGGUGAAACCCCAUCUCUACUAAAAAUGCAAAAAUUAGCUGUGUGUGGUGGCAGGUGUCUGUAAUCCCAGCUACUCGGGAGACUGAGGCAGGAGAAUUGCUUGAACCCGGGAGGCGGAGUUUGCAGUGAGUUGAGAUUGCACCGCUGUAUUCCAACCUGGACAACAGUGCCAAACCCUGUCUCAAAAGAAAAAAAUAAUAAUAAUAUAAAGUGACCAGGUGUGUUGACUCAUGCCUGUAAUCCCACCACUUUGGGUCGAGGCAGGAGGAUCACUGGAGCCCAGGAGUGUGAAACGAGCCUAGGCAACAGAGUGAGACCCUGUCUCUGUAUUAAACACACACACGUGCGCGCGCACACACACACACACACAUACACACACAAACAAAGGCAGCCAGACUAAGCACUAGGAACUGCCCUGGGAAUCUCUUUGUGAUCUCACAACAAUCCCAUUUCACAUGAAGAAACCUAGGCACAGAAAUAUUCAGUAACAUGUCCAGGUGCGGUGGCUCACGCCUGUAAUCCCAGUACUUUGGGAGGCUGAGGCAGGCAGAUCAUGACGUCAGGAGUUCGAGACCAUCCUGGCCAACAUGGUGAAACACCGUCUCUACUAAAAAUACAAAAAUUAGCUGUGUGUGGUGGCAGGUGCCUGUAAUUCUAGCUACUCAGGAAGCUGAGGCAGGAGAAUUGCUUGAACCCGGGAGGCAGAGGUUGCAAUUAGUCGAGAUCACACCACUGCACUCCAACCUGGGUGACAGAGCAAAACUCCAUCUGAAAAAAAAAAAAAAAAAAAGAAAUAUUAAGUAACUUGUCUGAGGCCACAUAGUUACCAAGACGUGGGAGCUGGGACUUGAACCCAGGCAGUCUGGCUGGAUUCAUGCCUGCGGCCUCUGCACUCCUGCUACUUACUGUGUGAGGAGCGUCUGUUCUGUGGAAGGUUGUGGGCUGAGAUCUUUCCAUGACUUCCACUCAUUUACCCCCAAGGCUGUUCUUAAAGAUGGGCAUGACAGUUAUGCCCAUUUUACAGAUGGGGCACUGAGGCUCACAAGGGCACGCCACUCACCCAUUUCCACAAAGCUAUAGUUAGUUAGCAGAGGGCAGAAUUCGGCUGCCUCUCCCCUAGCUUGAAGGCUGUGAUUGACACAGAGGUUUUUUUGUUGUCGUUGCUGUUGUUUGUUCCUUUUUCUUUUUCUUGAGACAGGGUCUUGCUCUGUCAUCCCAGCUGGAGUGCAGUGGUGUGAUGUCAGCUCACUGCAAACUCUGCCUCCAAGAUGCAAAUGAUUCUCGUGCCUCAGCCUCCCAAGUAGCUGGAAUUACAGGUGUGCACUACCACGCCCAGCUGUUUUUUGUAGAGAUGGGGUUAGUAGAGAUUUGUUUAAUAGAGACGGGGUUUCACCGUGGUCUCUACUAAACCCUGUCUCUACUAAAAAUACAAAAAUUACCCAGGCGUGGUGGCACAUGCCUGUAGUCCCAGCUACUCAAGAGGCUGAGGCAGGAGAAUCACUUGAACCUGGGAGGUGGAGGUUGCAGUGACCCAAAAUCAUGCACUCUAGCCUGGGGUCUCGCUUUUGCCCAGGUUAGAGUGCAGUGGCACAAUCACAGUGGCUCACUGCAGCCUCAAACUCCUGGGCUGAAGGGAAUCCUCCCACCUCAGCCUCCCAAGUAGCUAGGACUACAGGCAUGUGCCAUCAUGGCGAGUUAAUUUUGUGUGUGUUUUUAUUGUCUCGAGACAGAGUCUUGCUCUGUUGCUCAGGCUGGACUGCAAUGGCGUGAUCUUGGCUCACCGCAACCUCCACCUCCUGGGUUCAAGCAAUUCUCCUACCUCAGCCUCCCGAGUAGCUGGGAUUACAGGUGCUGCCAUGGCCAUGACUGUUGUUACACUCGAGCUGAGGAGGCCGGCUGCAGCCCCAAGACAGAGCGCUACUCCUGGCAGUGCGUCAAUCAGAGCAUCCUGUGCGAACUCUGCAAGGUCAGUGCGACCACCCUGCUCCAAAUCCAAGAAAACAGAGGUUUCCAGAGGAAGGAGAAAUUGUGCCCAGGGUCACACAGCUUGCAAGAGGCAGAGUGGAAGUUGAUUCCAGCUCUGCCUGCAGGACCCUCUCAUUUCCCCUCUGUUUCCCUUCUUGACAAAGAAUCUUCUUCACUCUGGAGGUGCCACCCAUGAGAACAAAGAGCUCUGGAGAGAUGUGGAUUCCUGAAGAGCUGCAGGGGGACUGGGAGAGGGUUUUCUGACAGAACAAUCUUACCUCAAGAAGUCAGUUAGGGAUGGCUGUAAUAUUUCUUUUCACUCCCAGGUAAUACCAAAUUGUAAGUGCACUAGGACAUAAAGGAUACUUUUGUCCAUGGAAAAAUGAGGUGGGAAUUCUAAACAAAGCAAGUUUUAAAACUGUGUUUCACUUCAAGUGUACAAGUCCCAUCACGUGUAAUCAUAGGACUCGGCAGCUUUUGAAGGUACAGAGGCCACACAAGAACCAGCUUAGCUGAGCAUCAUUUAAGGCCUUCAUUUGGAAUUGUCCCUGUGGGUAAUAAGUUACAUUCACUCUUCACUAAUUUACAGUCAGGGCCCAUUUGCUAUUACAAAUACGGAACCUCUGACACUUAGAAUAUUAGAUCGGGGCCCCACUGGGUGGGGAUGAAGGUGUUUUUGCACAACACGGUUACCAACAGGGAUGGGACUGUGAUGCUUGUAGGCAGCCUUUCUCUCUGCCAUCUCCCUCUGCAGGGCUUGAGCACAGAGCCGUAGGGAGAAAAAUGUAUCCAUGUCCUGACCUGGCAGACUAUGUCCAAAAGCAAGGAAAACAAGCAAACUUACCCAGUUGCAAAGAGGCUUUCUUGCAGAAGGGGGGAUCUGAAAAAGCCAACACAUGAGAAAUUGAAUGAUGAGAGAGUCUAAGGGCCAUGGCAUCAUCUGCAUCAGCACUGAACUAUCCUGCAGCUGCGGGGAGGAAGCUCCUUACUUUGCAUUUGUAGUAGUCCUCUGCCCGCCGCCGCAACACUUGCGCACGUUGAAACAUUUCCCUAUGGAUUACAAUCACUUUCAUCAGAUAAAGCACCACUUUCAGGAUGAUUUUAAAUAAUCUGCCAUGUUUCUGUUAUCCUCACAACUGUACCCUUACACAAUCUAUCUCUACCUAGAAAACGUAUUUCAGAUGGCUGUAAGAGUACAGUCUGGGCCGGUCACGGUGGCUGACGCCUGUAAUCCCAGCACUCUGGGAGGGCGAGGCGGAUGGAUUACGAGGUCAGGAGAUUGAGACCAUCCUGGCUAAUACGGUGAAACCCCAUCUCUACUAAAAAUACAAAAAAUUAGCCGGGCGUGGUGGCAGGCACCUGUAAUCCCAGCUACUCGGGAGGCUGAGGCAGGGGAAUCACUUGAACCUGGGAGGCGGAGGUUGCAGUGAGCCAAGAUCACGUCAUUGCACUCCAGCCUGGGUGACACAGCGAGACUCCAUCUCAGAAAAACAAAAACAAAAACCAAAAAACCGUACAGUCUGAUCCAAACUGUUGCUAUAUUGAUUCCUCCUCUCGCUUACUGCCUGCUGACUUCUGAGAUGAUAGUUUCCUUCCCCAUUCUCAGUAUAUCCCUAAUUCAUCCUUCAUUGAGUAUCUUUUAUCGUAAAGCUGUAUUCUCUUUGUAUUAAUAUCCUUACCGCGUUUCACAGGGCAGAAACAGCUGGGCUUAUAAACAGGCAUAGUCCUUUUGAAGGAUGUGGUUGAUCCUACAACAACACACUUUCCUAAGGAUGACAACAACUCACCCCACCCCUAGAAUGGCUGGUAUGAACCGAGUUUCCACACAGUCUAGCUGGCAAUGGGGUCAGGAGACGUUUUGCUGCUUCACAUCUUUUGGUCACUGGUAAAUAUUAAGGUACUUUGUUUUCUGUUUUGUGAACUCUCUCUCUCUCUCACGAUAUGUCUUCUGACCAUUUGUUUCUAUUUAUGCAUUUACUGGGUCUAAACAUUGUACAAAGGUUAAAAACAACACUCCAAUGGGCGUUUCCCAAGAGGGUGGGGUUCAGUUUCUGAACUCACUUGUAGGUGUGUAUUUCUUUCAUAUCCAAUUUCCCAUUUUCCUCUGCCUCUGAUAGCUGCCUCUCCUUUUCUGCAUGCUCACGUUCUUUGAUGCUUAGUUUCCUCAGACUAGAAGGGAGAGAAAUGCACACACAUGAUCCACCAGCCCGUGUGGGAUUCCCUCUGCCCUUCUGGCAUCUGAAGGCUGUGAUUCAAAGAUCCCCCCCUGCAACCUUCCCAUAAAUGAACCAACUGAUUCUCACAACUGAAGGAAGAAUGGACACCUCCCAUUGAGGGACAAAAAAAAAUCACACUCUGGCCUGCUGGCAAGUCACUUGUCAUUUCCAGCUCAUCUUCAUAGUUCCAUAGUUAGUCCUAUUCUUUAGUAAAUAUAAAGACUAUUAAAAGCUUCUAUGAGGUGCACUAUGUGUGUCUCUGGGGUCAGUCUUGUGCUUGACACAGCAAAAGCUCAUUUUAGUUCAGUGUGAAAAACCAGACCUCACCAAUUCACACAACUAACUCCAUCGGAAGCAGAGGAUUGCUCCUCAUCUGACUCCUCCUGUGUGAGACCUGAUUCUCAGUCAGAGGCUGAUGCCGGAACUGAGACCAUCAGCCAUAGAGAGAUCCUUCCAGAAUAUGGUGUCAUUAACCCCGCAGUUCACUACUGCACUUUGCCAUGAUUCAGGACUGGAACUCUUGUCAUCGACUUUAAAGAUCCUGAAAAGGCAAUCUGAAUGCUGGGCGCAUCUAUUGAAUUAGAAAUGAUUGGAAUGGCUCCUAAGUCAGGGUGUUAUGUCCUGAAAAUAGGUGACAACGGCAAACCAUCCACCCUGGUGUUGACUGACUUUAACAAGGUUCAGUUCACAGAGAUUGAGGGCAGAAAAAGGAAACGGCCUAAAAAGGGUAAGUUUGCUGUGUUGCCCUCACACCACGUGAUUCAUGGUCCUGAUCCUAAGGAUCUCACCUGAUACUUGGUUUUACAGGAAGGAUGUGUAAAACUCCCAGAACGCUACGAAACAGGGACGAAAACACUUCAAAGAGAAAGUUAAUGAACUUGUUUCUGACCACAGGGCAUCCUUCAGCACAUGCUGUCUGGAGUGGCCUCCAACAAGCAGUGUGUGGUGAGGUGCUGAGAAUGCAAUGGGAGCAGGGUCCUGUCCCCACGCUAAAGAAGCUCACAGUUUAAUGCAAAUGAGAAGCCAGUGAGGACAUCACUACUCCUGCUGUGCACUUGGGAACUAGAAACACAAAACCUGACUCUGGAGGGAAGCUAAGGAAGCAUUCUACUCUUGAGUUGACAUAAGUGCAUCUGAAGCUUCUGAUCUCCGAUGAGAACAAUGGGGGACACCAAACAGAAUAUAAAACCCAUGAUUGAAUACAUCAAAUUGCUAACAUGGCAGUAAACAGACAUGAGGUGAAGACGGAGAAGAAGGAAACCCAGGACGAAAGUCAGCCUCGCAUUUGGAACCCAUUUCCCUGAGUUUCAUUGCUGAAUUCCAGAAGGAACUACUGAGAUGCAAAGAAGCAGAGCAGCUUUUGCACACAUGCGUGGGGUUAGAUGGAAAACAAGUGGAUUGAGGGUCUGCCAAUGAAAGCGACCCAUACUGAAGUCCACUGGCUCUGGUUGAGACCCAGAAGAGUCAUGCAUCAGAAUAGAGGUGGACAGGAAAUACCCUGGCCUUUGUAGGGACUGAGCCUGCACCGACGACCUCAAUUGCAGCCUGUAUGGAGGACCCCUGACCAUCCCCCAGAAGUAGACUCCCAUCUCUUCUGCAGCAAGAUAACAUGCUACUAGGCCUCAAUUCAUUGCUAAAUAUUUUUUAACAAGUAUCUCACAUUUAACAACAAAAGAUCAGUCAUAUGGCAGCAAAAUACAAUGUAAUAUGACCAAAACAUGAAAGACUGUGAAAAUGAA